GUUUAGUCCAACCCCCUGUUAGUUAGAGCGUGGUGCUGAUAACGCCAAAGUUGUAGGUUCGAUCCCCAUAUGGGACG